AAAAUAAAUUACAAUAAAAAUCAAAUCAGAUCAAGCCAUGCUAUGUUGACUUUGUUCACUGCCAAACCCUGCCAUGUUGAUGAUGACUGCCAUUGAUGCACAAGCCAUGCUUAUUGGUACAUCUGUUCCUGUUUUAACUGAAUUGAGAAACAUAAAAACAUAAUUUUUUAAAUCAGUCUUGGUACACAUUGUGCAGAACAAAGAGACAACUUUU
rnacentral:lncRNA from 1 species